rnacentral:rRNA from 1 species
AACGAACGCUGGCGGCAGGCCUAACACAUGCAAGUCGAACGCAUCCUUCGGGGUGAGUGGCGCACAGGUGAGUAACACGUGGGAAUGUACCCUUUGGUUCGGAAUAACGUUUGGAAACGAACGCUAAUACCGGAUGAGCCCUACGGGGGAAAGAUUUAUCGCCAAAGGAGCAGCCCGCGUCUGAUUAGCUAGUUGGUGGAGUAAAGGCUUACCAAGGCGACGAUCAGUAGCUGGUCUGAGAGGAUGAUCAGCCACACUGGGACUGAGACAGGGCCCAGACUCCUACGGGAGGCAGCAGUGGGGAAUAUUGGACAAUGGGCGCAAGCCUGAUCCAGCCAUGCCGCGUGAGUGAUGAAGGCCUUCGGGUUGUAAAGCUCUUUCGUACGCGACGAUGAUGACGGUAGCGUGAGAAGAAGCCCCGGCUAACUUCGUGCCAGCCGCCGCCGUAA